rnacentral:rRNA from 1 species
AGCGAACGCUGGCGGCAGGCCUAACACAUGCAAGUCGAACGAACUCUUCGGAGUUAGUGGCGGACGGGUGAGUAACACGUGGGAACGUGCCGUUAGGUUCGGAAUAACUCAGGGAAACGUGUGCUAAUACCGAAUGUGCCCUUCGGGGGAAAGAUUUAUCGCCUUUAGAGCGGCCCGCGUCUGAUUAGCUAGUUGGUGAGGUAAAGGCUCACCAAGGCGACGAUCAGUAGCUGGUCUGAGAGGAUGAUCAGCCACAUUGGGACUGAGACACGGCCCAAACUCCUACGGGAGGCAGCAGUGGGGAAUCUUGCGCAAUGGGCGAAAGCCUGACGCAGCCAUGCCGCGUGAAUGAUGAAGGUCGUAGGAUUGUAAAAUUCUUUCACCGGGGACGAUAAUGACGGUACCCGGAGAAGAAGCCCCGGCUAACUUCGUG